AAGACAUGACAUAUAUACUAAAACAUGUGCCCGGAUGCAAUAGAAAGCAUAUCAUAACAAACAUAAAACAGAUUGGAGAGAAAACAGCAAAAAAACAGCUACUGUCGCGAUCGCUAUUGCUUCGCUUAGCGAAGGCUUAGCAAAGCUUCGCUACAGGUUCGCUUAGCGAGGUGCUAGCGAGUGCCUGCGGGUUCUAGGUUCUUCUCUGGUAACGGUACAAUUUCAGAAACCCCAAACCCUAUGGUAUCCAUCUCAGCAAGGAAGUGAUU
rnacentral:lncRNA from 1 species